rnacentral:rRNA from 1 species
UGGGGANUCUUCCGCAAUGGACGAAAGUCUGACGGAGCAACGCCGCGUGAGUGAUGACGGCCUUCGGGUUGUAAAGCUCUGUUAAUCGGGACGAAAGGCCUUCUUGCAAAUAGUGAGAAGGAUUGACGGUACCGGAAUAGAAAGCCACGGCUAACUACGUGCCAGCAGCCGCGGUAAUACGUAGGUGGCAAGCGUUGUCCGGAAUUAUUGGGCGUAAAGCGCGCGCAGGCGGAUCAGUCAGUCUGUCUUAAAAGUUCGGGGCUUAACCCCGUGAUGGGAUGGAAACUGCUGAUCUAGAGUAUCGGAGAGGAAAGUGGAAUUCCUAGUGUAGCGGUGAAAUGCGUAGAUAUUAGGAAGAACACCAGUGGCGAAGGCGACUUUCUGGACGAAAACUGACGCUGAGGCGCGAAAGCCAGGGGAGCGAACGGGAUUGGAUACCCCGGUAGUCCUGGCCGUAAACGAUGGGUACUAGGUGUAGGAGGUAUCGACCCCUUCUGUGCCGGAGUUAACGCAAUAAGUACCCCGCCUGGGGAGUACGACCGCAAGGUUG